GGCUGAGCCAGCGGCCACGGAGGUGGGGGAGCUGGGCAUCUGUCUGGCGGGGCGCUGGGCGGCUGAGGACUUCCUGGGCCCGUGGCCUUGGUGGACAGCCUG